rnacentral:misc_RNA from 1 species
CAGGCCUCCCUCUGCUUGGUUCCAGUCCUGGGCAUGAGUGAGGGGCGAUGUUUGAUGGCUUUGAUGCCAUCAGUGGGAAUGUGUUUUCAACCUAGUAGGGACGUGUCCCUGCGCCCAACGACUUUUGUCGGGAUCGUGGCAAGUCUGCGAUCCAGGGGGUGAUGUUGAGAGCCGGAAGGCAAGAGGGUGCAAACACCAGCCAGCCUUUGUCCCGAUUGCUGAGUGUUAUGUGCUUGAUGUCCAAAGCUUGAUGCUGAUCUUCCAAGUGGGGCUUGUCCCUGCACCAAUGGCUUUUGCCAGGAUCAUGGCGUUUGCUGUGAUCGAAAAAAUGAGGGGGUGAUGUUGAGAGCCGGAAGACAAGGGGGUGCAAACACCAGUCGGCCUUUGUCCCGAUUGCUGAGUGUUAUGUGCUUGACGUUCAAGGCUUGAUGCUGACCCUCCAAGUGGGGCUUUUUUGUUCCUGCGGUAACGACUUUGUUGGGAUCAUUGUGAUCAAGUUUGGUUGGUUUCGUAUUGUGGUGGGUUUUUUCGAAGCUUCUAUCGUUCUUUUACGCAUCGUGCGGUGCAUCUUGGGGGCUGUUUUGGCUUUUGGUUGCUUGCUUGGGCUUUAUGCUAGGCGGGUGGCUAAU